AACUCCCAAAAAAAUGGUAGGAAUAACAAAUUACUUUGGAGGUGUGAAAUCAAAACUAUUCAAAAUUCUAGACAGUUUCCCAAUGGGAAAAGGAGGCAUUAGGAUGUUUUCUUUCACCAAAUAAGUGCACGGGUUAUUGAGUGACGAUUUAUUUACACAGGACACAUAGAACUGCAGUGCACAACAAACUAUUCCAGCUCGAAGUUUUGUGCAGUAGAAUACAUUUGCCAUGGUAGUAGCCACGCACCACCAAAUGACUACUGCGACCAAAGAAAAAUGUACAGUGUUGCAACCAAAUGACACUGCUUUCUCAUAGCUGCUGGGCUAGCCACCAGCCUUUGUUACACGAGUGAGAGCCAUAGUUUGUGAGGCUAAUCCGUGUGAAAAAAUGACAAUAACAUAUUUACAAACGAAAAAUAAUUUAUGAAUAAAUUUUUAUGUAUGUAUUUGUAAUGAUGUAAAAGCAAAUGUUGAAAAAUAAUCUAUGAUGAAAAAACUCCAAAAUCAACUUUAAAUUUAAGGUUAAAAAUUUAAAUUUUGGAUUAUAAGCAUAAAUAAAAAUAAAAAGAUAAGAGCAUAUAUCACUGACG
rnacentral:lncRNA from 1 species